UUUUUUUUCCUUUACUCUUGCUUGUUACCUGCUUUGUUGUGUAGCGUGAGAUUCAGUGAGCUAGGCUGGGUGUGAGCGAGCGAGUGUGACUCGGUGAAUACAGGGCGGGGCGGGGAGAGAGGAACAGCUCCUGAGUCCCGGUUUGUCCUCUUAUGAAAAGCUUCAGAAGCAGAACGGCUAAUCGUUUGGGGAUUUUUUCCCAUGUAUGUAAAAUAAGGAAUAUUAUAAAAUUCAGAUUCAGAGUCAUUUGGCAGUCUUCAGAUACUGUAGUCUAUAUACUGCAAUGCUGUCCUAUGCUUGUUUGGGGAGCGGCUUAUGGUGUGGGAAAUUUUGGUAGUGUAAUCCUAUGUCUGCCUACUUGGAUGUAAACCCUGUGGAGUUCAGGAGGACUUGCUUCCAGAGACGUGUGCAGAACGGCAGCCUAAAUUUUCGAGAGAUUUUCAAGGUCUUACUCUUCCACGCCGGAAUAUGAUAGGUAUUUCUUCUGUACAGCCCAAUCAUAUGCGUGCUUUACUCAGAAGUCAGUUCUCCAUGCCACAUAUGAUUGUAGGUUUAGAAAUACUGUGGCUGAAAUCCACCACAUUUUGUAGCGACCAAGCCACACUUCCCGGGAAAUCCCGCGAGUCUGUCAACGCUCUCGCGAUGUCUCAUGAAGCCGUAGGAGUCACCGCAAAACCCGAAGCCGCCUAAUGCCCCCGCUGCCUUUCAAGAGCGCGACGUAAGCCGUGGAUGCAAGGCGGCGAACUGCGAGGGUGCAUGCGCCCCUAAUCUUAGUUUCCUUUGGGAGGUGUUUCUCAAAAGGAUGAGGCUGGUAAUACUUGAUAACUAUGACCUGGCUAGUGAAUGGGCUGCAAAGUAUAUCUGUAAUCGCAUCAUCCAGUUCAAGCCAAGUCCAAGCAGGUAUUUCAUUCUUGGCUUACCCACAGGAAGUACACCUCGGAUGCUACCAGAAACUGACAGAAUAUCACAAAAGAGGAGAUCUCUCUUACAAAUAUGUGAAGACGUUCAAUAUGGAUGAAUACGUGGGACUUCCCAGAAGUCAUCCCGAAAGCUACCAUUCUUACAUGUGGAACAAUUUUUUCAAGCAUAUUGAUAUAGACCCAAAUAAUGCUCAUAUUCUUGAUGGAAAUGCUCCAGAUCUAAAGGCAGAGUGUGAUGCAUUUAAAAAAAGAUAGAAGAAGCUGGGGGAAUAGAUCUAUUUGUUGGAGGUGAUGAUUCUAAUCACUGGUGCACACAAAGCUUUUGCCUUGUACAAGGCAAUUGAAGAGGGCGUCAAUCACAUGUGGACAGUUUCUGCUUUCCAGCAACAUCCUCACACCAUCUUUGUACGCGAUGAAGAUGCUACCUUAGAACUAAGAGUUAAAACUGUCAAGUAUUUUAAAGGUUUAGUGCACGUGCACAACAAACUUGUGGACCCGCUGUACAGUAUGAAAGAGCAAAACUGAAGGAGAAAUCCAAGCUGGACUCAUCUGGCUGCCCCCCAGCAGUGUUUUUGGGUAGCAGAUAAACUUACUGCUAUGCAGUGUGCUGAAAAACUGGCUAAAAUGGAGGCCCUUAAGUACUGUGGGGUUUUGUCUCUUCCCCCCCCCCCGGUCCAAAUGUACAUAUAUACAUUCCUGUUAGCGCUGUUACAAGUGCUAUUCUUUGCUUUCUUGUUUUGCCUGUCACAUGCUACCUGUACGCUAUGGAAACCAGUGCAACAGUUCUGACUUUAAAGGUAGCCGUACGCAAGCUGUCCACAGGAGAAGAAAAGCUUUGUGUAAACUCCAAAUAUAAAAACAAUUUCUUUUUU